CUACGUGCCAGCAGCCGCGGUAAUACGUAGGGUGCGAGCGUUAAUCGGAAUUACUGGGCGUAAAGCGAGCGCAGACGGUUACUUAAGCAGGAUGUGAAAUCCCCGGGCUCAACCUGGGAACUGCGUUCUGAACUGGGUAACUAGAGUGUGUCAGAGGGAGGUAGAAUUCCACGUGUAGCAGUGAAAUGCGUAGAGAUGUGGAGGAAUACCGAUGGCGAAGGCAGCCUCCUGGGAUAACACUGACGUUCAUGCCCGAAAGCGUGGGUAGCAAACAGGAUUAGAUACCCUGGUAGUCCACGCCCUAAACGAUGUCGAUUAGCUGUUGGGCAGCUUGACUGCUUAGUAGCGAAGCUAACGCGUGAAAUCGACCGCCUGGGGAGUACGGUCGCAAGAUUAAAACUCAAAGGAAUUGACGGGGACCCGCACAAGCGGUGGAUGAUGUGGAUUAAUUCGAUGCAACGCGAAAAACCUUACCUACGCUUGACAU
rnacentral:rRNA from 1 species